rnacentral:rRNA from 1 species
UACGAAGGGGGCUAGCGUUGUUCGGAAUCACUGGGCGUAAAGCGCACGUAGGCGGACUUUCAAGUCAGGGGUGAAAUCCCGGGGCUCAACCUCGGAAUUGCCUUUGAUACUGUAGGUCUCGAGUCCGGAAGAGGUGGGUGGAAUUCCUAGUGUAGAGGUGAAAUUCGUAGAUAUUAGGAAGAACACCGGUGGCGAAGGCGGCCCACUGGUCCG